rnacentral:lncRNA from 1 species
AGAAAUAGUAGAUUUUCAUCUUAUGCUAAUAUAUUGAACUGACUUGUUCAUGAAACAGAUCCAUAUUUCUCUUUUUCCAGUCAGGCAGAGGGAACUCGCCUCCCCCAGCAUACACACAAAGCUGUGGCUGUGAGAAAAGGGAGAACUCACUGUACAGUGGAUACCAUGAGGAUCUGGACCAGCUCUUACCGCCAGCUUACACUGACCCCAAUUACCUGCACAGCAGCUAAUUCUCAUAAAGGAAACGCCACACAUGAAAUUUAAGCUCCAACACUUUGGCUAAAAUUCCUGUAGGACAAAAUCUUCCUCGCUCCAUGGCCAUAUGAAACUGACUUACGGAAUAGGGUCAACCUUGUCCCUCC